UUAAGCGACUAAGCGUACACGGUGGAUGCCCUGGCAGUCAGAGGCGAUGAAGGACGUGCUAAUCUGCGAUAAGCGUCGGUAAGGUGAUAUGAACCGUUAUAACCGGCGAUUUCCGAAUGGGGAAACCCAGUGUGUUUCGACACACUAUCAUUAACUGAAUCCAUAGGUUAAUGAGGCGAACCGGGGGAACUGAAACAUCUAAGUACCCCGAGGAAAAGAAAUCAACCGAGAUUCCCCCAGUAGCGGCGAGCGAACGGGGAGCAGCCCAGAGCCUGAAUCAGUGUGUGUGUUAGUGGAAGCGUCUGGAAAGGCGCGCGAUACAGGGUGACAGCCCCGUACACAAAAAUGCACAUGCUGUGAGCUCGAUGAGUAGGGCGGGACACGUGGUAUCCUGUCUGAAUAUGGGGGGACCAUCCUCCAAGGCUAAAUACUCCUGACUGACCGAUAGUGAACCAGUACCGUGAGGGAAAGGCGAAAAGAACCCCGGCGAGGGGAGUGAAAAAGAACCUGAAACCGUGUACGUACAAGCAGUGGGAGCACGCUUCGGCGUGUGACUGCGUACCUUUUGUAUAAUGGGUCAGCGACUUAUAUUCUGUAGCAAGGUUAACCGAAUAGGGGAGCCGAAGGGAAACCGAGUCUUAACUGGGCGUUAAGUUGCAGGGUAUAGACCCGAAACCCGGUGAUCUAGCCAUGGGCAGGUUGAAGGUUGGGUAACACUAACUGGAGGACCGAACCGACUAAUGUUGAAAAAUUAGCGGAUGACUUGUGGCUGGGGGUGAAAGGCCAAUCAAACCGGGAGAUAGCUGGUUCUCCCCGAAAGCUAUUUAGGUAGCGCCUCGUGAAUUCAUCUCCGGGGGUAGAGCACUGUUUCGGCAAGGGGGUCAUCCCGACUUACCAACCCGAUGCAAACUGCGAAUACCGGAGAAUGUUAUCACGGGAGACACACGGCGGGUGCUAACGUCCGUCGUGAAGAGGGAAACAACCCAGACCGCCAGCUAAGGUCCCAAAGUCAUGGUUAAGUGGGAAACGAUGUGGGAAGGCCCAGACAGCCAGGAUGUUGGCUUAGAAGCAGCCAUCAUUUAAAGAAAGCGUAAUAGCUCACUGGUCGAGUCGGCCUGCGCGGAAGAUGUAACGGGGCUAAACCAUGCACCGAAGCUGCGGCAGCGACGCUGAUGCGUUGUUGGGUAGGGGAGCGUUCUGUAAGCCUGCGAAGGUGUGCUGUGAGGCAUGCUGGAGGUAUCAGAAGUGCGAAUGCUGACAUAAGUAACGAUAAAGCGGGUGAAAAGCCCGCUCGCCGGAAGACCAAGGGUUCCUGUCCAACGUUAAUCGGGGCAGGGUGAGUCGACCCCUAAGGCGAGGCCGAAAGGCGUAGUCGAUGGGAAACAGGUUAAUAUUCCUGUACUUGGUGUUACUGCGAAGGGGGACGGAGAAGGCUAUGUUGGCCGGGCGACGGUUGUCCCGGUUUAAGCGUGUAGGCUGGUUUUCCAGGCAAAUCCGGAAAAUCAAGGCUGAGGCGUGAUGACGAGGCACUACGGUGCUGAAGCAACAAAUGCCCUGCUUCCAGGAAAAGCCUCUAAGCAUCAGGUAACAUCAAAUCGUACCCCAAACCGACACAGGUGGUCAGGUAGAGAAUACCAAGGCGCUUGAGAGAACUCGGGUGAAGGAACUAGGCAAAAUGGUGCCGUAACUUCGGGAGAAGGCACGCUGAUAUGUAGGUGAAGUCCCUCGCGGAUGGAGCUGAAAUCAGUCGAAGAUACCAGCUGGCUGCAACUGUUUAUUAAAAACACAGCACUGUGCAAACACGAAAGUGGACGUAUACGGUGUGACGCCUGCCCGGUGCCGGAAGGUUAAUUGAUGGGGUUAGCCGCAAGGCGAAGCUCUUGAUCGAAGCCCCGGUAAACGGCGGCCGUAACUAUAACGGUCCUAAGGUAGCGAAAUUCCUUGUCGGGUAAGUUCCGACCUGCACGAAUGGCGUAAUGAUGGCCAGGCUGUCUCCACCCGAGACUCAGUGAAAUUGAACUCGCUGUGAAGAUGCAGUGUACCCGCGGCAAGACGGAAAGACCCCGUGAACCUUUACUAUAGCUUGACACUGAACAUUGAGCCUUGAUGUGUAGGAUAGGUGGGAGGCUUUGAAGUGUGGACGCCAGUCUGCAUGGAGCCGACCUUGAAAUACCACCCUUUAAUGUUUGAUGUUCUAACGUUGACCCGUAAUCCGGGUUGCGGACAGUGUCUGGUGGGUAGUUUGACUGGGGCGGUCUCCUCCUAAAGAGUAACGGAGGAGCACGAAGGUUGGCUAAUCCUGGUCGGACAUCAGGAGGUUAGUGCAAUGGCAUAAGCCAGCUUGACUGCGAGCGUGACGGCGCGAGCAGGUGCGAAAGCAGGUCAUAGUGAUCCGGUGGUUCUGAAUGGAAGGGCCAUCGCUCAACGGAUAAAAGGUACUCCGGGGAUAACAGGCUGAUACCGCCCAAGAGUUCAUAUCGACGGCGGUGUUUGGCACCUCGAUGUCGGCUCAUCACAUCCUGGGGCUGAAGUAGGUCCCAAGGGUAUGGCUGUUCGCCAUUUAAAGUGGUACGCGAGCUGGGUUUAGAACGUCGUGAGACAGUUCGGUCCCUAUCUGCCGUGGGCGCUGGAGAACUGAGGGGGGCUGCUCCUAGUACGAGAGGACCGGAGUGGACGCAUCACUGGUGUUCGGGUUGUCAUGCCAAUGGCACUGCCCGGUAGCUAAAUGCGGAAGAGAUAAGUGCUGAAAGCAUCUAAGCACGAAACUUGCCCCGAGAUGAGUUCUCCCUGACUCCUUGAGAGUCCUGAAGGAACGUUGAAGACGACGACGUUGAUAGGCCGGGUGUGUAAGCGCAGCGAUGCGUUGAGCUAACCGGUACUAAUGAACCGUGAGGCUUAACCUU
rnacentral:rRNA from 1 species